rnacentral:rRNA from 1 species
AAGGCUUCAGUACGACCCAGUCAGAACCAUAAGUCUCAAAGCCCCGACGAGUAGGGUGGCGUGCCGGUGCGCGUUGAAGGCCAAGACGUGAGUCAGGCUGGAGCCGCCGGUAGUGCAGAUCUUGGUGGUAGUAGCAAGUACUCUGGUGAACCAACCUGGAGCUGUGAGGUCUGGAUUAGGGUUCCAUGUCAACAGUGAUUGAACAUGGGUGAGUCGAACCUAAGCCAACUGUGAAAGCAGUGACAUCCCGACAAAGGGGCACUAAAUGUGUUGCACACUUACACCCCCAAGCAAAGCUCUCGUAUUGCUCUCUCUCUCUCUCUCUGACGAUAAGAUAUCUGGCAAGGAAUAUGAGCACACACUCGAUGAUCACCACAAAUACGUGGAUGAGAGAGUGUGUGCAACUGAUCUGAUUACGAUCUGGUCAUGGAAUAUGAGAGAGCACACACAAUGAUCAAUAAACAAGUGAGUGUGUGCUCUGGUCUGGUUACGGAAUAUGAGAGAGCACACACAAUGAUCACUACACAGUGAGUGUGUGCUCUGGUCUGGUUACGGAAUAUUGGGCACACACAAUGAUCACUAUUAAUACGUGAGAGUGUGUGCUCUGGUUUGAUUACGCUCAUAAGCGUUGUUGCUCUCUGUUAAAUGGAUAAACGAUAAGGCAUAAAACGAGAGAGAGAGAAACGGAGUGGGUGAGCGUGAGUGUUGCUCUUUCAUGAGCACCCUGCGUCUGGUUCUAUGUCUGGCGAAAGGGAAUGGGGACUUUGUUCCUUGACCGGUCCUGGCACCCUCGAUUGGCUCAGCCAAUUAAUGGUCCAUGCAAAUGGAACCAGGCCACAGCCGUCGGCAGUCGCCCGAGGAAGAGUUUUCUUUUCUGCUUAACGCACGAGGUCAUCCCUGGAAACAGUUCGGCUGGCGAAAGGGUGCCCCGCUGCGGCAGAGCGCCACGACUGUCGUGCGCGUCUCGGUGUUCCUGCUGGUCCGUGAAGACGUGGUCGAGGGGAAUGCUAUCUUGUAUCAACGAAACGCCUGACAAGUUCGGGACGGACCGUACCCUAUAUCCGCAUCUGGUCUCCAAGGUUCUUAGCCUCUGSAGAGUCAGACACAUGUAGGUAAGGGAAGUCGGCAAACUCGAUCCGUAACUUCGGGAAAAGGAUUGGCUCUGAGGGCCGAGCUGGGCCGGGCCUUGCCUGCAAAGCAGUACCUAUAGUGACCGGAGUUUCAGGAGUGCGAGGGGCUCUAGUAGCUGCUUGUGCGUGUGUGCGUUCRCGCGUGCACGCGUGUGGGCACRAACGAGUCCACCUCU